UACGAAGGGGGGCUAGCGUUGUUCGGAUUUACUGGGCGUAAAGCGUGCGCAGGCUGUUUUGUAAGUCAGAUGUGAAAUCCCCGAGCUCAACUUGGGAACUGCGUUUGAAACUACAAGACUAGAAUAUGUCAGAGGGGGGUAGAAUUCCACGUGUAGCAGUGAAAUGCGUAGAGAUGUGGAGGAAUACCAAUGGCGAAGGCAGCCCCCUGGGAUAAUAUUGACGCUCAUGCACGAAAGCGUGGGGAGCAAACAGG
rnacentral:rRNA from 1 species